rnacentral:rRNA from 1 species
GGGGGCCCGCAAGCGGUGGAGCAUGUGGUUUAAUUCGAUGCAACGCGAAGAACCUUACCUACUCUUGACAUCCAGAGAACUUAGCAGAGAUGCUUUGGUGCCUUCGGGAACUCUGAGACAGGUGCUGCAUGGCUGUCGUCAGCUCGUGUUGUGAAAUGUUGGGUUAAGUCCCGCAACGAGCGCAACCCUUAUCCUUUGUUGCCAUCGGUUCGGCCGGGAACUCAAAGGAGACUGCCAGUGAUAAACUGGAGGAAGGUGGGGAUGACGUCAAGUCAUCAUGGCCCUUACGAGUAGGGCUACACACGUGCUACAAUGGCGUAUACAAAGAGAAGCGACCUCGCGAGAGCAAGCGGACCUCAUAAAGUACGUCGUAGUCCGGAUUGGAGUCUGCAACUCGACUCCAUGAAGUCGGAAUCGCUAGUAAUCGUAGAUCAGAAUGCUACGGUGAAUACGUUCCCGGGCCCUGUACACACC